UACGAAGGGGGCUAGCGUUGCUCGGAAUCACUGGGCGUAAAGGGUGCGUAGGCGGGUUUCUAAGUCAGAGGUGAAAGCCUGGAGCUCAACUCCAGAACUGCCUUUGAUACUGGAAGUCUUGAGUUCGGGAGAGGUGAGUGGAACUGCGAGUGUAGAGGUGAAAUUCGUAGAUAUUCGGAAGAACACCAGUGGCGAUGGCGACUUACUGGACACAUAUUGACGCUGAGGUGCGAAAGCGUGGGGAGCAAACAGG
rnacentral:rRNA from 1 species